AUCAUUUCACCUCCUCUCAGGAGUGGUCGGCCGGGCAGAAAGGCACGGAAGUGCCAGCCAGGCUACUUCUGCAAUUGGCACAACACGAAUGAUGACAGUUUCACAUGAAAUAACAUGGGAAGUGAAAGCUUAGAAGGAUGAAAGGCAGAUGUAGGAGCUUCAGCAUUUUGAAGAAGUGAGUCCUUUGCCAGCAACAUCAACGUGCAGGCAGAAAGCAUGGAAGGAGCAGAAGCAAGGCAAAGCGUUGAGCCAAGAACACACCCACACAUCAAAGAGGGAGGGAUGUGACAUCAGCAGGUGGUGACAAGGUUUGCCAAGAAGAGUCAGCUCUGUGUUGCAUCUUUACAAGUGUAUAUCCAUGAAAGAAAGCGGUUGGGUUCAUUUUCUAAGGUGGAAAUACACACAUACACAAACACACCCACUCACCAAUGAUGCAUUUGUGCACCCGAAAAGCAGAAUUUGGAUAGCUGGCCAUGUUACAUCCCAGGGUUGGUUCUAAUUAAGGGCUUGAUUACACUGUGAUUUGCCUUACUGUUUGUGUUGGAUAUAUUAUGGUUAAAUUCAAAGUAUUUUCCAUCUACUACAAGACUUACAGCUAAUUUGCAUGGAAGUCUGUUCGUUUUUCAUAGACAUUCACAGCAUUUUAUUCAGUUAGCAGCAGCUA